AUUCUGUCCUGUGUUCCACUCUGAUUCAAAGCAAACGGUUUUGUGGCAAAAGAACCACACCAUUAAUUUCCCACUUGUUCAUUGUUGAUCAGAAAUGAAUGGAAGCUGUUGCAAUCUUUCUAUUUGGCAGACAGAGAAGACCAAAAUUCUAUUUCUUCCUCACAUUGAGCUGAUGCUGCCGUUGUUCCUAAAAGCUUUUUUUUUCUCUUUUUGGGGCUAAAUGACUGUCCUGACACCAUAAGGAGUAUAAAAGACAGUUGCCUUUGUCACAUUUUCAAUACUGUCUUAGUUAGAUCUUCAGUAAGCUUCUCACACAUUUGAUGUUGCAGGAUAGGGACUCACUCACUGGAUCAGUGUGAGUUCCCCCCAUCUUGAGAGAUUAUGCAUUGGCUGCUAUGCUCCCUGCUGAAUCCCUGCUGGGGCUGAGCGGUGUUCUGGGAUGCAACCCAAGUCUAAUCAUCUGAUACAAGUUUAAAAGUAGCCAUGGGUAUUUUUUUUGAGGGGCAGUCCACACACCCAACACAUCCUCACAGACACAAGCUCACACAAUGACGCUCACACUAGGAUCCUCUUUGGAGCCAGUGGCCAGCUUUAUCCAAAUGUCCUCAUGUGGCACAGGGCAGAAGGAGAAACUCCAUCUCUGUGUGCAGUCGUUCCCUGGUUCUAUGGAUGAAGAUGUGGAUCUAUAUUUGAAAUGUCAGAGAAAGUGUUAUGGUGCCUGUCAGUCUCCUCCCCCUCCCCCUACUGCUCUGCUCCUGACUCCACCAGCUGGGACCAAUUCACCUCAUCACCUGCUCUGCUCUUAAGGAGAUCCAGACCCAUUAGCCAACGCCAGUUCGUUACCCUCUAUGGUGACUCUACCUGGUCUCAAGUCUAGUUCAUGUUUUCUUGUUUAAGUCUGGCCUUGUGCUUAACCUGCCUCUCUCUGUCUCAGGAUUCCAGUCUCUAAGAGUCCCCAGUGUGGAUGUCAGCUCGAGUUCUCCAGCAGUCCGGUGGAACCCUCAAGCUUUGCCAAGCCGCGCUUUUACCUCCAGCCACGCCACAAGCCGCUUUCCUCUCCAGCUGCCCACCAAGUCACACCAACUUUCCUGGAAGGAAAAUAAAACCCAUUUCUUACCUUUCA